rnacentral:rRNA from 1 species
CCUACGGGUGGCUGCAGUGGGGAAUAUUGCACAAUGGGCGCAAGCCUGAUGCAGCCAUGCCGCGUGUGUGAAGAAGGCCUUCGGGUUGUAAAGCACUUUCAGCGGGGAGGAAGGCGUUAAGGUUAAUAACCUUGUCGAUUGACGUUACCCGCAGAAGAGGCACCGGCUAACUCCGUGCCAGCAGCCGCGGUAAUACGGAGGGUGCAAGCGUUAAUCGGAAUUACUGGGCGUAAAGCGCACGCAGGCGGUCUGUCAAGUCGGAUGUGAAAUCCCCGGGCUCAACCUGGGAACUGCAUUCGAAACUGGCAGGCUAGAGUCUUGUAGAGGGGGGUAGAAUUCCAGGUGUAGCGGUGAAAUGCGUAGAGAUCUGGAGGAAUACCGGUGGCGAAGGCGGCCCCCUGGACAAAGACUGACGCUCAGGUGCGAAAGCGUGGGGAGCAAACAGGAUUAGAUACCCCAGUAGUC